GGGCCCGCACAAGCGGUGGAGCAUGUGGUUUAAUUCGAUGAUACGCGAGGAACCUUACCAGGGCUUAAAUGUUAGGUGACAGAUCUAGAAAUAGAUUUUUCUUCGGACACUUAACAAGGUGCUGCAUGGUUGUCGUCAGCUCGUGCCGUGAGGUGUCAGGUUAAGUCCUAUAACGAGCGCAACCCCUGUUGUUAGUUGCCAGCGAGUAAUGUCGGGAACUCUAGCAAGACUGCCAGUGCAAACUGUGAGGAAGGUGGGGAUGACGUCAAAUCAUCACGGCCCUUACGUCCUGGGCUACACACGUGCUACAAUGGUAGGUACAGAGAGCAGCCAAUGCGCGAGCAUGAGCAAAUCUAUAAAACCUAUCUCAGUUCGGAUCGGAGUCUGCAACUCGACUCCGUGAAGCUGGAAUC
rnacentral:rRNA from 1 species